AGAGUUUGAUUAUGGCUCAAGAUGAACGCUAGCUACAGGCUUAACACAUGCAAGUCGAGGGGUAGGCAGGAUCUAGCAAUAGAUUGCUGACGACCGGCGCACGGGUGAGUAACACGUAUCCAACCUUCCGUUUACUCGGGGAUAGCCUUUCGAAAGAAAGAUUAAUACCCGAUAGUAUGUUUUUCCCGCAUGGGAGAACCAUUAAAGUUUUUCGGUAAUCGAUGGGGAUGCGUUCCAUUAGGCAGUUGGUGAGGUAACGGCUCACCAAACCUUCGAUGGAUAGGGGUUCUGAGAGGAAGGUCCCCCCACAUUGGAACUGAGACACGGUCCAAACUCCUACGGGAGGCAGCAGUGAGGAAUAUUGGUCAAUGGACGAGAGUCUGAACCAGCCAAGUAGCCGUGAAGGAUGACUGCCCUAUGGGUUGUAAACUUUCUUUUAUAUGGGAAUAAAGGAGCCUACGUGUAGGUUUUUGUAUGUACCAUACGAAUAAGGAUCGGCUAACUCCGUGCCAGCCGCCGC
rnacentral:rRNA from 1 species